UGGUGGUCACCCAGGUCGACUCAGCUCCGCUGUUCUUCGCCGUUAGAAUACACCUAAAUUAUCCCUGAAGAUGAGUACCUUGGUAAGACAAUUGCUACAGAAGAACCACACGUUAAAGGUGUUCACAGGAGACAAAUAUCGGGAGCUGGCCAAUAACUGGAAAAGCACAGCCGCAGUGUGGGGAGGACUGGGAGCCGUAGUAGUGGUGUGGGCCUCAGACUGGAAGGCUGUGUGGCAGUAUGUGCCAUACAUCAGGGGAAAGUUCAUCCAAAAGGACGAAUAACAUCCUGUAGACAGCCUCCAUGAGUGUUGAGAUGAGUGAACAAGAUGAGACCUUUCCAGAGCUGCUGAGAUGAUACUCUUAUUGCUGAUUUCAUAACUUUGAGAUGUCAGCUGGACACAUGUUACAAUGAUUCCGAUGUUUGAAUUUGUGCUUCUUGGAAGGUUUAGAUGUGGACAUGAUAUAAUGGAUGCCAGCUCUAUUCAUUCUACUUCGAAGUAAUAAACCAGUUAUAUUGGUCCACAA